rnacentral:rRNA from 1 species
UCUUGGCCAUAAAGAAAUUUAAAUUUACCGGAGCACUACGAACUAAAAAGUUUAAAACUCAAAGGGCUUGGCGGUGUUUUAGACCUCUUAGGGGAACCUGUCUCAUAAUCGACAAUCCACGCUAAACCUAACUUCUUUUUGUAUUCAGUAUGUAUACCAUCGUCGUCAGGUAACUUUAAAAAACUAGAAGUUAGCUAAUAAACUAUGUAAGUUUAAACGUCAGAUCAAGGUGCAGUCAAUGAAGGAGUGAGGAUGGGUUACAAUUAUUAAAUUAUAAAUACGAAAUAAUUAAAUGAACAAAUAAUUAUGAGGGAGGACUUAAAAGUAAACUGAAUUAUAUAAGCAUAUUGAAUUAGGCUCUGAAACGUGC